GAUGAACGCUAGCUACAGGCUUAACACAUGCAAGUCGAGGGACCGGCGCACGGGUGAGUAACACGUAUCCAACCUGCCCUUUACCCGGGGAUAGCCUUUCGAAAGAAAGAUUAAUACCCGAUAUAAAGGAUGGGGAUGCGUUCCAUUAGGUUGUUGGUGAGGUAACGGCUCACCAAGCCUUCGAUGGAUAGGGGUUCUUAGAGGAAGGUCCCGCACAUGAGAACUGAAACACGAGCCAAACUCCUACGGGAGGCAGCAGUGAGGAAUAUGGAUCAAUGGGCGCUAGCCUGAACCAUGCAAGUAGCGUGAAGGAUGAAGGCUGAUGGGUCGUAAACUUCUUUUAUAUAAAAAUAUGUAUUAUAUUAAUAAGGAUCAGGUAACUCCGUGCCAGCAGCCACAGUAAUGC
rnacentral:rRNA from 1 species